AUGAUGUAGCUUGAUGAUGUAAGCAUGUAAUGAUGACAUUGCAUCCAAAGGUGGGCACACGGGGAGGGGGGUACUAAUCACAAAGUAACUUUUUUGGCGGAAACGAUGGUUUUGGUCUCAGUACCCGAAGCGUCAUAUGAUCUAGGCCGUUGAUCCAAACAGAUCUCAGCCUUUGGUGGUCCUUAUAAAUAGGGGGUCCCCCACUCAUUUGCACUCUUUUUGCUUUUGAUGUUGAAUAGUUGUCUUUUCUCCGACAUUCACCUUGCCAUAGUUAGCUCGCAAUCGUUUUCUUGUCCUCAACUCAGUAAGUACCAACAUCUCAUUUCUUUUUCUUCUAUUUCUAUAGUGCAUGUCCAGUGGAAUCUGCGUAGGAGACUUAGAUAAUACAUUACCAUCUUGGGUGUCUGAACAUCUCGGAGAAAAAUCAUACAUGACGGAUGAGGUUAACCAACCCCCUUCUUCCCCUCUCGAGGAGUCUUCUUCUCAGGCUAAAAAUUUUGACCACGGGGAAGACCC
rnacentral:lncRNA from 1 species